AACGGGGGGAGCGAGCGUUACUCAGCAUAAUUGGGCGUAAAGGGCACGUAGACGGUCUUAUAGAGUUAAAGAUAAAAGGUCAGGCGUCAAGUUUGUAACUAUCUUUAAAACGUAAUGACUUGAGUUUAACAGGGGAUGAUGGUACUCCGAAUGGAGAGGUGAAAUUCUUAGAGAUUGUGGGGGACUACCAAUUGGCGAAGGCAGUUGUCUGGGUUAAACUGACGUUGAAGGGCGAAGGCAUGGGUAGCAAACAGG
rnacentral:rRNA from 1 species